rnacentral:rRNA from 1 species
AUGUACAUCCAGUUGAUAGGACUGGGUGGACUUCUCAAGACACCUAGCAUCAAAAUUAAACGUGUACUCUGCCUGGCCAUCGCUAAUUCAUAUGAUGCAGAGCAGGAUGCCUUUAUCAUCAAUGGGAGACCAUGUAGGAUCACACUAGAAGAUGUAGCGCAUAUAACAGACAUGCCCUGCCAUGGGAAGAAGCACGUCCCUUCAAUCUUGAUGAUAAUAUGGAGUUGUGGAAGAAACUGA